UAGGGAAUCUUCCACAAUGGACGCAAGUCUGAUGGAGCAACGCCGCGUGAGUGAAGAAGGCUUUCGGGUCGUAAAACUCUGUUAUUGAAGAAGAACGUGUGUGACAGUAACUGGUCAUGCAGUGACGGUAUUCAAUCAGAAAGUCACGGCUAACUACGUGCCAGCAGCCGCGGUAAUACGUAGGUGGCAAGCGUUGUCCGGAUUUAUUGGGCGUAAAGCGAGUGCAGGCGGUCUUUUAAGUCUGAUGUGAAAGCCUUCGGCUUAACCGAAGAAGGGCAUCGGAAACUGGGAGACUUGAGUGCAGAAGAGGAGAGUGGAACUCCAUGUGUAGCGGUGAAAUGCGUAGAUAUACGGAAGAACACCAGUGGCGAAGGCGGCUCUCUGGUCUGUAACUGACGCUGAGGCUCGAAAGCGUGGGUAGCAAACAGGAUUAGAUACCCUGGUAGU
rnacentral:rRNA from 1 species